rnacentral:misc_RNA from 1 species
AAAAAAAUUGAGGAAAAAAGAAAAUGAAAAACACAAAAUAAAGAAAGUAAAAACAGGAGAAGGAAAAAGUGAAAGAAUAAAUGAUAAAAAUAAAUGAUGAAAAUAAAUGACAAAUAAAUAAUGAACUUAGAGACUCGUUUGAGAAUUUAAUGUCUUUGCAAACUCUAUGACAACAACACAAGACGAAGAAAACGAGAACCAGGAGAGGAAGACACUGACACAGUGACGCUGAGAAAACGACAGUGGGCAAACAUGAAUCUCGCUCUCUUACUCAUCUCUCUGCCUCUCUUCCUUGGUGAGGCGUGGGGCGUGUCAAUCGUGCGUCUUACUGCUCCCGAGGUGGUGAGGGCCAAUUCUUCAGAAGUGGUGCUGGAUUGUGACUACCAGGUGGAUGAGUGGGAGAGGCCAGGGCUGGUGGUGAAGUGGUACUUCGACAAAAUCCACCUGGUGUACCAAUGGAUCCCUCCGAGACACCCACAGGUCCUUGGAGUGUUAGCUGGACACGUGGACACAACCUACAGUGUCUCCCACGACCCUCUGGCUGCCCACCGCGCCCUCAGAAUCCCACGCCCGCACCCAGCUCUCUCCGGACAGUACUCCUGCACUGUCAGUACUUUUGAGGAUGAGGACACACGCACCGCUCCGCUCUUGGUGUGGACGCCUCCUACCUACACGGAUCUCAAGUACUGGCGCCCCUCGGAACACCUUGUCAACGUUACCUGCGCAGCGUCUGGAGCAGCGCCUAGACCCGAAUUUACCUUGUACAUCCGUGACCCCAACGGUACAAGGCAAGACGUGGGCGUGAGAGGCACCAGCGGACAUCAGGAGGGGGGUGUGUGGUGGGCGGGGGCAUGGGGCCUGAUAGUGUGGGCGGACACGGAGCCUGGAUCAGAGGUGGGGUGUACUGUGACUCUGCCAGGAACACCACAUGAGGAGACGAGGAAGAAGAUAUACCAUGCAGAUUUGCCGAUCAUCACCACCACCACCACCACCACCACCACGACGACGACCACCACCGCCAUUACCACCACGACAGACAGUCAGCCACGGCCAAGAUCCAACACUUCACAGGAUGGAACUGACACAAGCUUCUUUGAUUUCCCAAGUUUGUUCGGCUCAACCAGCACAGGGGGAGCGCCGCGCCUCACCAUCUCCCGGGCCUUUUCUGCACUCUUAUUCGUGGCGAUACAAGUGUGGAGUACAUCAAUGGUGACGCUGUGAAGCACGACGGCCGCCAUCUUGCUGCACCUCGACCCACAUCAAAACAGAGAGAGAGAGAGAGAGAGAGAGAGAGAGAGAGAGAGAGAGAGAGAGAGAGAGAGAGAGAGAG